GGGGGUUUAGCUCAGUGGUAGAGCACUUGCCUAGCAAGCACAAGGCCCUGGGUUCAGUCCCCAGCUCCG
rfam:Rattus norvegicus chromosome 17, whole genome shotgun sequence.